rnacentral:rRNA from 1 species
GAACGAACGCUGGCGGCAUGCCUAACACAUGCAAGUCGAACGGGAUCCUAGCUUGCUAGGUGAGAGUGGCGGACGGGUGAGUAACACGUGGGAAUCUGCCUUUUGGUUCGGGAUAACCGCGGGAAACUGCGGCUAAUACCGAAUGCCCUCGAGAGAGGAAAGAUUUAUCGCCAGAAGAGGAGCCCCGCGUCCGAUUUAGGUAGUUGGUGGGGUAAAGGCCUACCAAGCCGACGAUCGGUAGCUGGUCUGAGAGGAUGAUCAGCCACACUGGGACUGAGAUACGGCCCAGACUCCUACGGGAGGCAGCAGUGGGGAAUAUUGGACAAUGGGGGCAACCCUGAUCCAGCAAUGCCGCGUGAGUGAUGAAGGCCUUAGGGUUGUAAAGCUCUUUUGCCAGGGAAGAUGAUGACUGUACCUGGAGAAUAAGCCCCGGCUAACUUCGUG